AGUGCCUAUCAUCCGCAGAGUCAAGGAGUUCUUGAGAGGUUUCAUCAAACCCUCAAGUCCCUUUUGAGGUCAUAUUGUGUGGAACUCGAUGCGGAUUGGGAAGAAGGUCUGCCGUGGAUGUUAUUGGCGACACGUGAGGUAAUCCAAGAAAGCCUUGGGUUUAGCCCAAAGAAUUAGUGUUCGGACAUGUAGUGCGAGGACCUACGGCUAUGUUAGCUGAGGAGUGGCGAAUGUCGAAACCUUCUGAAAACAUUUCAGAUUAUGUGAGUGGAUUCCGGCGUAGAUUGUAUGAGGCACGAGCUCUCGCUAAAAAGAAGUUGAGUAAGUGUAUAUUCCACCAUUGAGAAAGAAGCUCUUGCCCUAGUGUUGGCCGUACAACAUUUCGAGAUAUAUCUAGCUGCACAGAUUAUCAUUUAUACGGAUCAUAAUCCUUUGGUCUUCUUGAAUCGGAUGAGGAAUCGAAAUCAGCGACUAAUGCGAUGGAGUCUCAUUUUACAACCUUUCCAUCUUGAGAUUAAACAUAUUCGAGGAAAAGAUAACGUAAUAGCUGACACACUUUCUAGAGUGUAACAUCAUUUCUGCGUUGUCCGUUCCUUUUUCUUUGCAUCUCUAGGGCCCAGAGGUGUUGUAGAAUGAAGAGAAGACGACGUUCCUUUGGAUCACCAGAACUUUUAAUGUGUUCGUUCUGGGUAGUGUUUAACUGUCUUUUCUUUGUUUUUUUUAGAUUCGUUGCCGAAUCUUUAUUUUAGGAGGGAGGUGUUACGACCAUGCGUUCUACUUGCUCGCCUGCUGGUGGCGGUGUUCUUCCAGGAGAGCUUGGGAGAUUGCACACCCCUGUUACCUGAUCACCACUUAAUUGUGGAGAGGAUAAAACAUUGGACUCAACCACUCCUCUUCACUUCGUCCAGGGGAUCGACACCCUCUGGAGAAUCCAUACCAACCUUUUCUCCUCCCCAUCAGGAUUAUGAUUUUUCCCUUUUUGAUUUUGAUCCCUAGACUUCGUUAUAUUAAGUUAUUUGUGUUUUUGAAGACUAAUAAAA